GGGAGUGUAGCAUGGUGUAGUGGUUUGAGUGCUGAACUAGAACUCUGGAGACCAGGGUUCGAAUCCCGGCUCGGCCA